CGUUCAAUGGUCUAGUGGUGAUGAUUUCUGUCUCACAUUAUUUGUUGACAGAAGUCUCCAGUUCGAUCCUGGAUUGAACCA